rnacentral:rRNA from 2 species
AAGUCGUAACAAGGUUUCCGUAGGUGAACCUGCGGAAGGAUCAUUAUUGAAUAAAAACUUGAGCAGGCUGUUGCUGGCCCUUUGGGGUAUGUGCACGCUUGUUCUAUGUUAUUUCUCCAACUUGUGCACCUCUUGUAGACCUUUGUGGAUUUCACAAAUUCCGAGUCGGGACUGCCGUGCUUCUUCUCUGAAGUCGGCUUUCCCUUGGGUCUAUGUCAUUUUUCAUUCACAAAUAAUAUCGUUCAGAAUGUGUUGGAUCAGGUCUUUUUUGUACCUAUAUGAAAUGAAAUAUACAACUUUCAGCAACGGAUCUCUUGGCUCUCGCAUCGAUGAAGAACGCAGCGAAAUGCGAUAAGUAAUGUGAAUUGCAGAAUUCAGUGAAUCAUCGAAUCUUUGAACGCAUCUUGCGCUCCUUGGUAUUCCGAGGAGCAUGCCUGUUUGAGUGUCAUUCAACUUCUCAACCACAUUCUUCAUUGAUUGUGGCUUGGAUGGUGGGGGUUUUUUUUGUGCAGGCUUCUUCUGUGAGGUCAGCUCCCCUGAAAUGCAUCAGUGGUAAAUCUGAGGCCAUUGCUAUAGGUGUGAUAAUUAUCUAUGCCCUUGGUAUGCCGCAUGAAACCGCUUCUAAAUCCCAGAUUAUGA